CCUACGGGUGGCUGCAGUGGGGAAUAUUGGACAAUGGGGGCAACCAUGAUCCAGCCAUGCCGCGUGUGUGAAGAAGGCCCUCGGGUUGUAGAGCACUUUCAGUGAGGAAGAACGCCUGGUGGUUAAUACCCAUCAGGAAAGACAUCACUCACAGAAGAAGCACCGGCUAACUCCGUGCCAGCAGCCGCGGUAAUACGGAGGGUGCGAGCGUUAAUCGGAAUUACUGGGCGUAAAGCGCGCGUAGGUGGCUUGAUAAGCCGGUUGUGAAAGCCCCGGGCUCAACCUGGGAACGGCAUCCGGAACUGUCAAGCUAGAGUGCAGGAGAGGAAGGUAGAAUUCCCGGUGUAGCGGUGAAAUGCGUAGAGAUCGGGAGGAAUACCAGUGGCGAAGGCGGCCUUCUGGACUGACACUGACACUGAGGUGCGAAAGCGUGGGUAGCAAACAGGAUUAGAUACCCUGGUAGUC
rnacentral:rRNA from 1 species